GGCUGACUCCCAACUGUUGCAUGGUCCCCCCAACCCCCAGGCCUGACAUAGGCCUCCUAAGGCAGACCUGACCCCCUGACUCUGUGCCAGGGCCUGCGGCGGGGGGCUGAUCACCUGGAGGGCCACGCGACAGAGAAGAACACGUGCUAGGAGGGAACCCAAAGUAGUGAAGGCUUCUUGGGCUGAGAAGAGGGAAGAAGAGCAUUCCAGGCCGGGGAUGGGGCAUGAGUGGGGAAGGGCAGGGUGGGGCAGAUGGCUACCUUCCUCUACUAUUAAACAUCAAAGGCAAAUUCAAGCUCCUCAUUUUUCAGAAUCCACAAGUACACAUACAAAUAUAUAUUACUUACAACAAUCAUAAAAAUGAUGAUAGAGAAACAGGAACACUUUUACACUGUUGGUGGGACUGUACACUAGUUCAGCCCUUGUGGAAGUCAGUGUGGCGAUUCCUCAGGGAUCUAGAACUAGAAAUACCAUUUGACUCAGCCAUCCCAUUACUGGGUAUAUACCCAAAGGACUAUAAAUCAUGCUGCUAUAAAGACACUUGCCUGUUUUCUACAGUACAUACUAGAGGAAAUAACUAAAACGUUGGUUAAAUAUUUUUUGAACUUAAAAAAAAAACCUGCAGUACAUGCAAGAGGUGGCGUGAAGAAAUGCAAGGCUGGGCACAGUGGCUCACACCUGUAGUCCCAGAACUUUGGGAGGCCAAGGUGGGUAGAUCAUGAGUUUAGGAAUUCAGGACCAGCCUGAGCAACAUAGUGAAACCCCGUCUCUACUACAAUAUUUUUAGGGUAGAGUUUUUCAUCCCAAAUUUUAUUAUGAAAAUUUUCAAGUGUGUAUAAAAAUGGAGAGAACAGUAAACUCUCAUAGCUUGACUUGAGGACUCUAUGCCAGUGACCUCCUCCGCUUGGUAGACUGACAUUCUGGGCUGCCUCUAAGAUGCUCUCCUCACCACUGUCUGGUUCUGACACACUGCAGUCAACUGCUUGUGUUGUUCCCCUCCCUGGGUCCAUGUGUUCUCAUUGUUCAGCUCCCACUUAUGAGUGAGAACAUGUGGUGUUUGGUUUUCUGGUUCCUGUGUUAGUUUCCAUUCUGUUCCAUUGGUCUAUAUGUCUGUUUUGGUACCAGUACCAUGCUGUUGUGAUUACUGUAGCCUUGUAGUAUAGUUUAAAGUUAGGUAGCGUGAUGCCUUUAAGAAAUUUCUUUAGAGCUCUUUAAAAAGGAAAGGAACUAACAUUGGGAAUGGCUGAAGUGUGCUAUGGCCAGAGGUUAGGGAGGGAGUGCUUUGUUUUAUAAUUUUAUUAAUUUAAUAAAUGACCUCUAGUUUGGGUACAUCCAAGAGGAAACAUCCCAUCUGAAGUUACCAAUUAAUCCCAGCACUUUGGGAGUAUGAGGCAGGCGGAUCACGAGGUCAGGAGAUCGAGACCAUCCCUGGCCAACAUGGUGAAAACCUGUCUCUACUAAAAAUACAAAAAUUAGCUGGGUGUGGUGGUGGGCGCCUGUAGUCCCAGCUGCUCGGGAGGCCGAGGCAGAAGAAUCGCUUGAACCCAGGAGGCAGAGAUUGCAGUGAGGUGAGAUCAUGCGGCCUGGCAACAGAGCAAGAACAGAAAUAAGUGUCAUAUGCUCAAUCUGAUGCGUUUAAACAGAAUUUGGUUUUGUGCUCAGACUGGAGUGCGGGGGCACAAUCUCAGCUCAAUGCAACCUUUGCCUCCUGGGAUUGAGCCAUCAUCCCACUUCAGCCUCCCAAGUAGCUGAGAGGGACCAUAGGUGCAUGCCACCACUCCUGGCUAAUUUUUAUACUUUUUUUUUUUUUUUUUUUUUGGUAGAGACAGGUUUUCACCAUUGUUGCCCAGGCUGCUCUUGAACUCCUGAGCUCAGGCAAUCCGCCCGCCUUGGCCUCCCAAAGUGCUGGGAUUACAGGCGUGUUUUAUCUGAGUUCCUUCCUCAGGAAAGAACCUUCAGGCCUCUCAAAAAAAGUGUCAAAGAACUAAAACUCACCAGAUCACCACAUCCUAACAAUGAGAUGCUGGACCCCUCAUUCAUCAUAAUUGCUUCCGUGUCCCUCCCUAGUUCUGGAUUUCUUGCACAUUGUUACAUUUCUUCCCUCCUAUAUAAACCCCUAGUUUUAGUCGGUCAGGGAGAUGGAUUUGAGAUUGAGCUGCUGUGUCCUCAGCUGCAGCACCAGGUUAAAGCCUUCCUUGGCAGCACUCGGCAUCUUAGUGAUUGGCUUUCUGUGCCACGAGCAGCAGGACCUAGACCGCACCCCUGGUGUUUCGGCAACAUAAGCAGUAUCUCACCAAUGUUCUGUGACUUUCUUCCUUUGAUUGCCUUGAAGUUUCUGAUCUUGCUCUUCUUUCUUCAGAGGCCAGUUGAAGGCCACACCCCUGUCUGCUGUUGGCUCUCACUGAUUUGUCUAAAGGCUGUGGGUACUUGGGGUCAAAUUGUUGAUGUUUGUGCUAGCGAUGGUACUUCUUUUUUCUUUUCUUUCUUUUUUAAUUUUUUUGGAGACAGUCUCACUCUUUGCCCAGACUGGAGUGCAGCAGCACCAUCUCAGCUCACUGCGACCUCCACCUCCCAGGUUCAAGCAAUUCUCCUGCCUCAGCCUCUCAAGUAGCUGAGACUAUAGAAGCGCAUCACCAUGCCUGGCUAAUUUUUUUGUAUUUUUAAUAGAGACGGGGUUUCGCCAAGUUGACCAGGCUGGUCUUGAACACCUGUCCUCAAGGAAUAUUCCUGCCUUGACCUCCCAAAGUGCUGGGAUUACAGGUGUGAGCCACUGCCCCCUGCCAGAUGGAUGCUAUUUCUUGUCACUGCUGAAGCUGCUGGCUCCAAUGCUGUUGACAUUUCACACCCUCACUGCACCCACACGGGUGUGUUCUCCUACACUGGAAGAAAUUUUUCUCAAUUCACAGGAUCAGAAAAUUACAUUUUCUCCUAUGCUUCUGCUUUUUUAUGAAUACUGUGGACAUGCAACCAACUUUGCUUCUUUCUUUGAGCCGGCUGCUAGAAAGCUCUUAGCUAAAUUUGCAUUGUAUUUCCAG
rnacentral:lncRNA from 1 species